UCUUUGAAAGCUUGGGUCGAAAUUCAUUUAACGGAACCGCAGAUUUGAUCGAUCAUGUUAAAUAUAUUUCUCGUUCCGUGAUGCUGAUUAGAUUAUUGUAAAAGCUUUGGAUUAUCUGAAGUGGCAACAUAUGUCGGACAUUUCCGGGAGUUCAAGUGGCUUGCACGCGGCCUGCUAUAUGGAUGUUAAUUUUUAUCGGCAACUUCGAUAGACCGGCCGGCUCGAGUAACUCGCGUAACGAGAGAAGUUAAACGGGAGUACAACAACGCGUUCUUGUAAACGUAUGCAUUCACCAGGAAGUCGAGGCCGCUAGGAUGCGCCUGUGUCGACUACGCCAAGUAAACCCAAAGUCCCGGCUUUCUGUUCCGGCGCGUGAGACGGGUGAGGGGUAACAAAGUGGAGGAGAGUUUUGGCACGAGCCAGAUGUCGAGCGGAUCCGUAACGAAACCGAGAAAAGAAAGGAAGGAAAAGAAAAUAGGAGGAAAAUCGUGACGAGCAGAGAAUCGAGGCGACGAAUCGACGGCCAUAGAAAGCCUGCUGGUAAAUUUGAAGAGAAUGGAAAGACGAUCGCGAGCAUCGAACCGGAAACACGCCGAGCAAAGGGGAAUCGAAGCGACAGACGACAAGGUGGCAAUUGCAAAGGAGACGAUCGGCAGUAGCAGCCAGUCUGAUAAACGCUCUACUCUAUUAACUCUUCCCCCUGUAUUCUCUUCUUUCUUUCUCUUUUUUUUUUCCUUUUUUUCUUUUGCACAGGUUAACGCGACUAAUGGCGAUAGGAUAACGGAGGCAAAAAACCUGGACAAAAAUUCGUGUCGCGGGUACGGUAAACGGAACGUCGGACAAAGAAACGGAGAAGAGCGACGCUUCCGGUGCAGUGGAGUCCUUCUGACGCGUGUCCGGUUGGUUGUUCUGUGACGACGACGCGCAAACAAUGACGAGGGUUACGUAACAGCUAUGCACGAGAGAGGCAGCGUUCUCUGCCUGCGCUUCGCGCAAUUCUCCCGUGCAGGGUGGCCAAUGAGCAGUAACAGGAACGCCGCUAGCGAACCGCAGUCCCGUGAACGCUCAAACAAUGCGUAUCAUACUUAGCCGACUUGCCUGAAAAUCCGUCUGUCGUCGAUCGG